rnacentral:rRNA from 1 species
UGGGGAAUAUUGCACAAUGGGCGCAAGCCUGAUGCAGCCAUGCCGCGUGUGUGAAGAAGGCCUUCGGGUUGUAAAGCACUUUCAGCGAGGAGGAAGGGUAGUGUGUUAAUAGCACAUUGCAUUGACGUUACUCGCAGAAGAAGCACCGGCUAACUCCGUGCCAGCAGCCGCGGUAAUACGGAGGGUGCAAGCGUUAAUCGGAAUUACUGGGCGUAAAGCGCACGCAGGCGGUUUGUUAAGUCAGAUGUGAAAUCCCCGCGCUUAACGUGGGAACU